rnacentral:rRNA from 1 species
UCAUCGUCAGCUCAUUUUAUAUAUAUACUAGUUAUGAUAUGGGUUACUAACUUGUUUAGUAUUGCCUGUACAUUCUGAUAUAUUUAAUUGUAAGAUGUUGUCGGCGUGCACUUCUCCCCUAGUANGACGUCGCGACCCGUUGAGUUNNUUGGUCUACGGCCCAAGUGGAUGCUUUUAAUGAAUGAAUUUUUUAUUCAUUGAAAACCCUUGGUGUUUUCUGACUGGCACUCGUCGGUAUUCGUAUGGUAUUGAGCCGCAAUAAAAUAAAUAUUAUAUGCGUCCAUAUCUAUCACAAGCGAGGUUAGUAAAAUAUAUAUUACCGAUAGUACGGACUUUGUGCCGUCGUUGGUGCUAAUCAGCUGUUGGUUGUAUAGAAUUCUAGGACUGGCUUAUGUGAAAUACCGGUCAGCGAUGCUACUGCUUUGGGUACUUUCAGGACCCGUCUUGAAACACGGACCAAGGAGUCUAACAUGUACGCGAGUCAUUGGGAUUUUUAUAAAUUAAACCUAAAGGCGUAAUGAAAGUAAAGGUCGUCCUUGUGUCGACUAAGGGAGGAUGAGCUGUGUUAUGUAUACAGCUUCGCACUCUCGGGGGCGUCUCNUUCUCAUUAUGAGAAGAGGCGCACCUAGAGCGUACACGUUG